AAAGAGAUGAUAGUUUUAAACAGAAUACUACACAAGUAUGUUGAGCAUUUUAUUUUAUUGUUUUAAAGGGUACUAAAUCUGUGAUCUCAAUUAUUACUUAGUUAUUUUAUUCUGGUGCUUAUAUUGUUAAGUGAUUCUUGAAAUAAGGAAGCAAUUUCAAGGUUUCUACAAAGAAAUUGAGUCAACCAUUUAAGUGGUCAUACAGAACAACCAUUUGAUUGGUUCAUUUAGACCACUUAGUAUUUUCUUGGUCUGUCCCCUCUCUACCAUAUAGUCUUAACGUUUCCUUA
rnacentral:lncRNA from 1 species